CUUUUCAAUAUUUGUAUUAAUAAUUGUUUUUAUGGUGAAAAGGCGUCAAAAUGUCUCCCAAAAUGUGUGCGAAAUUUCGUUCGAUUUUCCAAACACCACUCAAAUGAAAACUCAGUUGAGAGCAAUUACUACAAGCUGGAGCAUAUUUACCAAUCCAAAUAAUGCAACAAACAUAAUUUAAAUACUGUUCUUCUCAAAAGCGAGGCCAACUGUUAUAGACUCGCUUUUUAAAUUAAAUAAUGAAAUUGACGACAUCACAAUUACUACAUCGUCAUUUUGAAAAUAAACGAACAAAUUUGGUCACUCUAAAAGUUAGUAAAGAAUAUCGAUUGUCUGGCAUUUC